rnacentral:rRNA from 1 species
GACGAACGCUGGCGGCGUGCUUAACACAUGCAAGUCGAGCGGUAAGGCCCUUUCGGGGGUACACGAGCGGCGAACGGGUGAGUAACACGUGGGUGACCUGCCCUCAGCUCUGGGAUAAGCCUGGGAAACUGGGUCUAAUACUGGAUAUGACUCCACGGUGCAUGUCGUGGGGUGGAAAGCCUUGUGCGGCUGAGGAUGGGCCCGCGGCCUAUCAGCUUGUUGGUGGGGUGANGGCCUACCAAGGCGACGACGGGUAGCCGGCCUGAGAGGGCGACCGGCCACACUGGGACUGAGACACGGCCCAGACUCCUACGGGAGGCAGCAGUGGGGAAUCUUGCGCAAUGGGCGAAAGCCUGACGCAGCGACGCCGCGUGAGGAUGAC